CAAGUAAGAGAAAGGUAUUUUUUACUCAGACUUGAAUGCUAAUUGGUGUUAAGAUGUCUGUAGUUAAAAUAAAGUUGGGCCCAAUAAACUGGUAGAUCAAAGGCCUGUUGAGCGCUCAUGCCCGGUGUGAUUUUAACAAUUGACUCCAAAUGCGUUGACAAGAAAAUAAGUAAAACUGUUAUUGAAUGUGAUUGGUUGAUAAAAUCAACGUACUAUAGGCUACAUUUUGUCUGCGAUAUCAUCUCGGUGGAAGCGGACAUUAAAUGAAGUGAUUUCACACAAUUAAUUUAACAUUUAACAACGUGCUGAAAUGAUUUUGGAGCAGUGAUAUGUUUGACAAAUGUAAGCUAAUGGUCACAUAGAAUACAAGACCGCAGGUUUGUGAAUAUUUAUAUAAAAAAAAUAAUACCAUGUAUGUAAUUUAGCAUCGAUAUUGUUUCUCUGUAUAAUGUUAGUAUUUUGUUCCUUAAAAAAAACUCCAACAAUUUAAACCGGAAGUUCAUGUUUAUAAUAUGGCGCGGUCAGGAAAAAAAUUUCGGCAUGUUAUUAUCAAAUCUGUUCAAUUUUUUCUGAAAUCAUGCUUAAUUAAUAUUAGUUGUUCGGCGCUACGAUGUUGUUCAAAUAUUUACAUUACAGAAUCACAUUAUGAUUGAAGCAGAAACGGCUCGACUUGAACCAGCAGACGGAAGAUAUGGACGAACAACAAGAAGAAGUUAUGGAGGUCCCAACAACUGAACCUAUGGAAGUAGAAGAAUCGUUUACAGCCGAAACCCGAUACGAUGUGCCAGUUCCGGUCAUGGAGUCCUCCAUCUCAGACGAUGCCGACGUUAGUGUCUUCUGCGACGAAGAACCCGUAGUGGUGUAUACGCAGGUAGAAGCUGGUUCCUCCGUGGCAAGUCCAAGUUGUUUGACAACCAAGGUUUUAAUUAUACAAUUAAGACAGAGAAGAAAACUACGAUUUGGAGGUGUUCCAUCUUCACCCAGCAGAACCCGGUAUACACACGGCUACCAAGAUAAAAGUUACAGCAAAGCAUGAAGCCAAAGGAAAUGUUUUUACCAAGUCAUGUUCCUCAAUAGCGGAGAGAGUUUUAUCCAGUGUCGGUUCUGCAGAAGAACCCAUUCAUAGCAGACCACCCAUGGCAGCACUUGUAAGGUCGCUACAAAGAACCCGACAGACUCUGCGACCAAAAGAUCCCACUGACGUGUCGUCAAGCCUUGACGAAGAUUUCAUCGAUCAUAGUGCACCGGGAUUUUAUCAAAAAAGAGUAAAAGUUGGGGAAAGGCGCCAUCACAUUUUUUGUACUGAUAGACAGAUGCAACUACUCGCACGCGCAAAAACUUGGUAUAUAUGGAUGCAACUUUUCGGGUGGUGAACAAGCCAUGGUCUCAGCUGUUUUCCAUCCACGCCUUCAUUAAGACCACCCGACAGUUACCAUUGGUGUUUUGUGUUAUGUCGGGUAAAAGCCAAGACGACUAUUAUAAGUCAAUGAUGAUAUGUGACUCUUUCCACCUUCCGGCAAUAAUUAUUGACAAUUUACCAAGGACUCCAUUGGCAUUGAAUCGAAGAAAAACAGUUUCAAUAUUUGAUGUAUAUGCAAAUCACCCAGAAAAAGAUCAUGUAAUAACAAAAGAAAUUAUAAAAGAAAAAAAUGGAAGAAGAAAUGGCUGGAAAAAAUGAUAAUAGAGCAGCUUUUUCUUGUUACCCACCUCGGAAGAUCAAGUUGGAAAGGGCUAUUGAUAUUGUGGAGACGUUUUCUCACAGAUCUUGCUUAUCAGACAAAGACUAUGCUGGAACACCAUUGAAAGAGUAUUUGCUGUAUGAUAACAACAAGAAAACCCAAGCAUCAAUUUAUUUUAUACUUCUGGGAAAGAAUGCAUUUGACCCAAUUUUUAAAUAUUUAUUUUUUGUUAUUAAUGUUAAAUUUUCUUCCAAAACACAAUUAGAUUUUAAUUCUCUUCAGAAAUGUAUGUAUAAUAUAGCAAGUAAAGUGACAUAUAAAUCACUUAGAAUUUGGUCAGAAAUCAUAAAGUAUUUAAUGGGCAUUACUAGAAACCAAAUGUAGAUCAAAUACACCCAGAAUUACAAAAAACCUUGACCUACAUAAAGGUGACUUUCCCUUGCUUAUGAAAUGAAAUACGGUUUAGUAUCCUACUUUUCUGUGUUCUUAGAGUGAUUCUGCCCUACACCCUACUCUUAUAUCAAAUAUUUCAACUGUCAAGGGUUCUUUAACGGGAACCGGGGGGGGGGG